GUACCCUCAAGCUCUGCUUGGUGUUGGGUGUUUGUCCCGCCUCGCGCGUGGACUCGCCUUAAAGUCAUUGGCAGCCGGAAUAAUUCUGGGGAACGCAGCACAACUGCAGCCUCCAUUUUAAGCCGAGCGUCCAGUAAGCCUUUUUUCAAC
rnacentral:misc_RNA from 1 species